GGUUGUAGCUGUAGCUCAGUGGGAGAGCACCUGCUUUGCACAUAGAAGGCCCUCAGGUUCAAUCCCCAGCAGCAUCA